rnacentral:sRNA from 1 species
GUUUGCACUUAUCGGGGAAGGGUGAGAACCUUCGAUUAAGGUUCGACUCGAGCGAAAGCGAGAGAACGUUGCCAACGGCAACGGCCCGUAGGGUGAGGAGCGAAGCGACGAAUAAUCCUUCCCCCACCGCCA